CAAAGGAGAUCUAGGAAAUACAGAUAUAUUCAUCAACUCAGGCUCCGAUGCAGUCACAAACAAUACCGAACUCUCAGCGGUUUGCAGUGUAGGUUUAUUUCUUUUCACCCAGUGUGCCCACUGUGUAGUUCUGCUCCUUUUCAUCAUCAUAACUGGACUCAGGCUGGGGGAGCAUUCUUUAUCUGUGAAAUUGCCAGACUCGUGGCAGAGGGAAAAGAGAUGAUAGAACUCUCUCUUAAGUUUCCACCUUGGAAUGUCACAUGCCAUUGGCCAAAGCAAGUCACACGGUCACUUCUGAGUUUAACAAGGCAGAGAUGGAAAAUCCUCCCAUCGGAUGGGACAUCACAACUCAUAACCAAGCCUGACAUCAAUGGGGGUUGCUGUCUACCCAACAUCUGCAUCCUGACUUCCAUGGAGGUGUGACUCUCACAGGACAGGUGCUCAUGGAACAAGCUGUGAGGCAACCGGCUUCUGUUAGAGGUUCUGAGAACUGUCACUCGGCUCUAAGAAAAUCGCUUUGCAGUGUCUACCUUGCUCAGAUGGUAAAGUGUCUGCCUGUAGUGAGGGAGACCUGAGUUCGAUCCCUGAGUUGGGAAGAUCCCCUGGAGAAGGAACUGGCAACCCGAAAAAUCCCAUGGAUGGAGGAGCCUGGUGGGCUACAGUCAACAGGGUAGCAAAGACUUGGACUGAAUGCAGCAAUUGAGACUCAGAGGAUUAAACGACUUACGCAAAGUCAUACAGGUAAUUGGGGGGAUAGAUGGGGAACCUAGAUCUCUCACAGCCUCUUAGUGCAUGAUUCUGUCAUUCCAUUAACUCCUCUCAGACUUUUCUUUUCACAGUCCUUUGGAAGCAGCAAAAAUACGAAACAAAGCUCCCUUUGCUUAUUUCCUUACAUUGUGGUUAACAGUGUAUUAGUCGCUUAGUCGUGUCCGACUCUUUGCAAUCCCGUGGACUGUAACCUCUCUCCAUGGGAUUCUCCAGGCAAGAAUACUGGAGUGGAUUGCCAUUCCCUUCUCCAGGGGAUCUUCCCAACCCAGGGAUCGAACUCAGGUCUCCCAAACUGCAGGCAGAUUCUUUACCGUAACUAACCCAAGGCUAUUUUUAAUGCCCAAAUCUCAAGGUCUUUGGGGGAUAUAGCAG
ensembl:lncRNA